rnacentral:rRNA from 1 species
AUUGAACGCUGGCGGCAUGCCUUACACAUGCAAGUCGAACGGUAACGCGGGGCAACCUGGCGACGAGUGGCGAACGGGUGAGUAAAGUAUCGGAACGUGCCCAAUAGUGGGGGAUAGCCCGGCGAAAGCCGGAUUAAUACCGCAUGAGACCUGAGGGUGAAAGCGGGGGGACUCGCAAGAGCCUCGCGCUGUUGGAGCGGCCGAUAUCAGAUUAGGUAGUUGGUGGGGUAAAGGCCUACCAAGCCGACGAUCUGUAGCUGGUCUGAGAGGACGACCAGCCACACUGGGACUGAGACACGGCCCAGACUCCUACGGGAGGCAGCAGUGGGGAAUUUUGGACAAUGGGCGCAAGCCUGAUCCAGCCAUGCCGCGUGCGGGAAGAAGGCCUCGGUUGUAACG